UUAAAGUGACAGAUUAAAUGUGAGGAAUUUAAGCUUCCUUUAUGAUAUAUUUCCUUUAAUA
rnacentral:tRNA from 1 species